GCCGCCUUCAGCCCCGGGAGAGGACACGUGCCGAGGGACCUACGGGUGCGGCGAUGGUUUUAUGGGUCCCCUUCCCAAUCACUGUCCCCUGUGACAAGACAGCAAUGAUAUUCCAGUUCUGGAUGGUGGAUAAACGGAAUCCACAUGGGCUUGGAGGAGUUUUCUGG